CGAAUCUUAUAUUUUCUUUCUUUUCCAUAUUUAAAAAGUCUACUUCCUUUUGUACUUAGGAUAUUUGCAUAGUUUUAUUGCUUUUCUUUGUAAUGAUACAUGUUUAACUCACUAUUUUUCCACAGAAUAGACAUCUUGUUAACCUGAUCUCAGAAUUCAAAGUUGAAUUAUAUGAUUGAUGAUCACCUUAAAAUGUAUAUAUUAAAACUUUGUGGUGUGCAUACAUUGAAUUUUCAGCAGGUCAUGGUUGGUGGUAAACUGCAUAUUUGGAAGGAAAGGGUUAUGGUGCUCUUUUAAAAUUUUUUAUAAAAAAAUAGGAAAGGUCCUGGCCAUCCAUU
rnacentral:lncRNA from 1 species